GACGAACGCUGGCGGCGUGCUUAACACAUGCAAGUCGAACGCUGAAGACCUGGCUUUUGUUGGGUUGGAUGAGUGGCGAACGGGUGAGUAACACGUGAGUAACCUGCCCUCUUCUUUGGGAUAACGCCCGGAAACGGGUGCUAAUACUGGAUAUUCACUGAUCUUCGCAUGGGGGUUGGUGGAAAGGUUUGUUCUGGUGGGGGAUGGGCUCGCUGCCUAUCAGCUUGUUGGUGGGGUUAUGGCCUACCAAGGCUUUGACGGGUAGCCGGCCUGAGAGGGUGACCGGUCACAUUGGGACUGAGAUACGGCCCAGACUCCUACGGGAGGCAGCAGUGGGGAAUAUUGCACAAUGGGCGAAAGCCUGAUGCAGCGACGCCGCGUGAGGGAUGGAGGCCUUCGGGUUGUAAACCUCUUUCGCUCAUGGUCAAGCCGCAACUGUGGGUUGUGGUGAGGGUAGUGGGUAAAGAAGCGCCGGCUAACUACGUG
rnacentral:rRNA from 1 species